rnacentral:rRNA from 1 species
GAUGAACGCUGGCGGCGUGCCUAAUACAUGCAAGUCGAGCGAACGGACGAGAAGCUUGCUUCUCUGAUGUUAGCGGCGGACGGGUGAGUAACACGUGGAUAACCUACCUAUAAGACUGGGAUAACUUCGGGAAACCGGAGCUAAUACCGGAUAAUAUUUUGAACCGCAUGGUUCAAAAGUGAAAGACGGUCUUGCUGUCACUUAUAGAUGGAUCCGCGCUGCAUUAGCUAGUUGGUAAGGUAACGGCUUACCAAGGCAACGAUGCAUAGCCGACCUGAGAGGGUGAUCGGCCACACUGGAACUGAGACACGGUCCAGACUCCUACGGGAGGCAGCAGUAGGGGAUCUGCCGCAAUGGGCGAAAGCCUGACGGAGCAACGCCGCGGGAGUGAUGAAGGUCUUCGGAUCGGAAAACUCUGUUAUUAGGGAAGAACAUAUGUGUAAGUAACUGUGCACAUCUUGACGGUACCUAAACAGAAAGCCACGGCUAACUACGUG